ACGGAAGGCAGCAGCUACGAAUAUUCCGCAAUGGACGAAAGUCUGACGGAGCGACGCCGCGUGGAUGAUGAAGGCCUUACGGUUGUAAAAUCCUUUUAUAACUGAGGAAUAAGUAUUAUCCGAGAAAGGUAGUAUGGUGCCUGUAGGUUAUGACUAAGCCACGGCUAAUUACGUGCCAGCAGCCGCGGUAACACGUAAGUUGCGAGCGUUGUUCGGAAUUAUUGGGCGUAAAGGGCAUGUAGGCGGUUUUGCAAGCUUGGUGUGAAAUCCCGGAGCUCAACUCCGGAAUUGCGUUGAGAACUGCAUAACUAGAGUAACUGAGGGGCAAGCAGAAUUCCAGGUGUAGGGGUGAAAUCGGUAGAUAUCUGGAAGAAUACCAAUGGCGAAGGCAGGUUACCAGCAGAUGACUGACGCUGAGGUGCGAAGGUGCGGGGAGCAAACAGGAUUAGAUACCCUGGUA
rnacentral:rRNA from 1 species